rnacentral:lncRNA from 1 species
AAGUUUAGUGGCCUUACUUAGAGUGAUUGCUGUGACACCUUUUCCAUGAGACAGAACAUAUAUAGGCAUGCGUAUCCUGACGUAACCUUACCAAAA